AAGUGAAACACUAAAUUAGGUACUUUUAAAACCCUUCACCAUGACACUACAAACUGAGAACGAUUAUUCUGUCUUACUCACUUGUAACUUUUCUAGGUUCAAGAAAGCACUUUACUGGUAGAAAAAUGACUUCAUUUCCCAGGGUUCCUUUCCUUUUCAUUUUAUCAGAGAUUUAUGAUUUAUCAGCUUUUAUGAUGAAACAACAGCAAUGCUAAGUUGAAACUCUGGCAGCACUUUCUGCAUGGUUUGAGCCCUGUGAGCUGGUUGUUCCGUGAGGCUGCCAGUUUGCCCGGGGAGGCUGGAGCAGCAGCACUGCCAGCCAGGCUUGGACCCACACAUGAAGGCAAAGAGAAUUUAUGAAUAUUUAAAAUCUCAUUAAUUUUAACCAAAGUCCUAAAUGAUUGAUUAAAUACUCUUUUCAAAACUCCGACUGUUUAAAAAUCAAUUUGACAGUAACAUCCACGGCUCGGAAUAAAGCUGCUUGAAAAGUCGAACAUGAAAAGUAGAAAAUCACACCUAAUCAUUCUUUAUUGGUAAUACAAUUUAAGACAGAAAAUGCUUUUUACUAUUAAAUAUGGCAAGCAUGUUUUAUAAAUAUAAUUGCCAUUUUCCAGUCAUGGUUUUACACAUUGCAGUCGACAUUUAAUUUCUGUCCUUGCUUCAUAUAAGUGAAAUCUCAAGUAAAAAAACAACCACUCUCCUUUAAUGUCAUUAACCUUUUCUGAAGAAUUUAAAAAGCAAACCAUGAGAUUCUAGAGCUAACUAAGUGCUCCACAGCUGUGUGAGAGACAGUAUCACUUUCUGGUUAAGAUACAACCAUGCCAAAUUUUACAAGUGUGUGACUAGCUGCAAGCCAUGUGUUUUGUAUUACUCUUCCUAAUCAACGGGAAUGAGCUCUCACUUAGGAAAAGUUCAAAUUAUUUAAUUCAAAUUUCCUUGUUUAUCACUUGAAUCAUGAGCACAACCAGUGAUUUAAAUCACUUCAGCUGCAAAGAGUCCUUGCUGAGUGGCAGCCAGCAUCCUCCGGGCUGCGGGAUGCUGGUGGCCGAUGGAGCUGUGACACGGCGAGCUCCGGCUGGGGAGCACCGGGACAGCCACGGAUCCAGGAUUCACCUGUGGGGCCAUGUGGAGCCAGCUCCCAACCAGGCACUGGUCACUCAGAUCCCAUCAGCUGCCACAGGCAGGUUCUGGUGCUGGCUGCCAAUGCACACAACCAGUGGAGCAAAUGAGAGCCUGUUUCAACUUGCAAGGGUGCAAAACUCAGCAUGAGGAGAGCAGGCAGACCAAGAUCCUCAUGAUGUGGUUGAAGUGCUGAAUCUGGCAGCAGUGUUAAUCAAGAGCAAGGUCAUGCAACUCAUUCAAAUAUCCAGCCAUGAUUCUCUAGUGCCCACUUGAUAUUAGAUUUUAUAUCAACUCACCUGCAGAAAUAUAUGAAAUUUGUGCAAAAAAAAAUCCAUCUUUUUAGCUCUCUUCAUUUACAGGCAUUAUUAUUUCAACAGAAUAUAAUUAGCAAAAGUGCUUCUUGUAUUUUUUGGGAACAUAAUAGUUCCAGUUACUUAGACAGAAAAAAAAUUAGAAUAAAACUAGCUAGCUAAAGAAUUGUCUGUUAAAA
ensembl:lncRNA